rnacentral:rRNA from 1 species
GAUGAACGCUGGCGGCGUGCCUAAUACAUGCAAGUCGAGCGAACAGACGAGGAGCUUGCUCCUCUGACGUUAGCGGCGGACGGGCGAGUAACACGUGGAUAACCUACCUAUAAGACUGGGAUAACUUCGGGAAACCGGAGCUAAUACCGGAUAACAUGUUGAACCGCAUGGUUCAACAGUGAAAGACGGUCUUGCUGUCACUUAUAGAUGGAUCCGCGCCGCAUUAGCUAGUUGGUAAGGUAACGGCUUACCAAGGCAACGAUGCGUAGCCGACCUGAGAGGGUGAUCGGCCACACUGGAACUGAGACACGGUCCAGACUCCUACGGGAGGCAGCAGUAGGGAAUCUUUCGCAAUGGGCGAAAGCCUGACGGAGCAACGCCGCGUGAGUGAAGAAGGUCUUCGGAUCGUAAAACUCUGUUAUUAGGGAAGAACAAAUGUGUAAGUAACUAUGCACGUCUUGACGGUACCUAAUCAGAAAGCCACGGCUAACUACGUG